AACAGAGGGUGCGAGCGUUCAUCGGAAUUACUGAGCGUAAAGCGCACGUAGGCGGCGACGUAAGUCGGGUGUGAAAGCCCCGGGCUCAACCUGGGAAUUGCAUUCGAGACUGGAUUGCUGGAGUACGGAAGAGGAGGGCGGAAUUCCCGGUGUAGCGGUGAAAUGCGUAGAUAUCGGGAGGAACAUCAGUGGCGAAGGCGGGCCUCUGGUCGAGUACUGACACUCAAGUGCGAUAGCGUGGGGAGCAAACAGG
rnacentral:rRNA from 1 species